rnacentral:rRNA from 1 species
GACGAACGCUGGCGGCGUGCCUAAUACAUGCAAGUCGAACGAGAGCGACCGGUGCUUGCACUGGUCAAUCUAGUGGCGAACGGGUGAGUAACACGUGGGUAACCUGCCCAUCAGAGGGGGAUAACAUUCGGAAACGGAUGCUAAAACCGCAUAGGUCCUUUAACCGCAUGGUUUGAGGAGGAAAAGAGGCGCAAGCUUCUGCUGAUGGAUGGACCCGCGGUGCAUUAGCUAGUUGGUGAGGUAACGGCUCACCAAGGCCGUGAUGCAUAGCCGACCUGAGAGGGUGAUCGGCCACAUUGGGACUGAGACACGGCCCAAACUCCUACGGGAGGCAGCAGUAGGGAAUCUUCCGCAAUGGACGCAAGUCUGACGGAGCAACGCCGCGUGAGUGAAGAAGGUUUUCGGAUCGUAAAACUCUGUUGUUAGAGAAGAACAAGUGCUAGAGUAACUGUUAGCGCCUUGACGGUAUCUAACCAGAAAGCCACGGCUAACUACGUGCCAGCAGCCGCGGUAAUACGUAGGUGGCAAGCGUUGUCCGGAUUUAUUGGGCGUAAAGCGAGCGCAGGCGGUUCCUUAAGUCUGAUGUGAAAGCCCCCGGCUCAACCGGGGAGGGUCAUUGGAAACUGGGGAACUUGAGUGCAGAAGAGGAGAGUGGAAUUCCAUGUGUAGCGGUGAAAUGCGUAGAUAUAUGGAGGAACACCAGUGGCGAAGGCGACUCUCUGGUCUGUAACUGACGCUGAGGCUCGAAAGCGUGGGUAGCAAACAGGAUUAGAUACCCUGGUAGUCCACGCUGUAAACGGUGGGUACUAGGUGUGGGGUCCAUUCCACGGGUUCCGUGCCGUAGCUAACGCUUUAAGUACCCCGCCUGGGGAGUACGGCCGCAAGGCUAAAACUCAAAGGAAUUGACGGGGCCCCGCACAAGCGGCGGAGCAUGCGGAUUAAUUCGAUGCAACGCGUAGAACCUUACCUGGGUUUGACAUGGAUCGGGAGUGCUCAGAGAUGGGUGUGCCUCUUUUGGGGUCGGUUCACAGGUGGUGCAUGGCUGUCGUCAGCUCGUGUCGUGAGAUGUUGGGUUAAGUCCCGCAACGAGCGCAACCCUUGUUCACUGUUGCCAGCACGUUAUGGUGGGGACUCAGUGGAGACCGCCGGGGUCAACUCGGAGGAAGGUGGGGAUGACGUCAAGUCAUCAUGCCCCUUAUGUCCAGGGCUUCACGCAUGCUACAAUGGCUGGUACAGAGAGUGGCGAGCCUGUGAGGGUGAGCGAAUCUCGGAAAGCCGGUCUCAGUUCGGAUUGGGGUCUGCAACUCGACCUCAUGAAGUCGGAGUCGCUAGUAAUCGCAGAUCAGCAACGCUGCGGUGAAUACGUUCCCGGGGCU